rnacentral:rRNA from 1 species
AUGCGAUCCUCCGGCCUCGCGCCCGACGUGGCCUGCUUCCACUCCGCCCUCCGCGCCGCACGCUCGCAUUGUGAUGUCUCCGCCGUUCUGGACAUCAUGUCCAGGUCCGGCGUCAACCCGACCGUCCCCCUGAUCGUGACCGCGGUGCAUAGGCUGGCGUACAGGGGCGACUUCGAAGGUGCCCGCUGUCUGAUUGACAAAAUGCCUGAGUUUGGAUGCGCGGCCAAUNNNNNNNNNNNNNNNNNNNNNNNNNNNNUCCCGGACCUCCCCUCCGCCGUGCCCCUCCUCCUCUCCUCCUCCCCGCACCCGCUGCCCCUCCCGCACUACGCCCUCCUCCUCGGCAUCUCCACUCAUGCCGGCCUUUUCCCCGUCUCACUCGCCGUCCUCCGCCACAUGCGAUCCUCCGGCCUCGCGCCCGACGUGGCCUGCUUCCACUCCGCCCUCCGCGCCGCACGCUGGCAUGCUGAUGUCUCCGCCGUUCUGGACAUCAUGUCCAGGUCCGGCGUCAACCCGACCGUCCCCCUGAUCGUGACCGCGGUGCAUAGGCUGGCGUACAGGGGCGACUUCGAAGGCGCCCGCUGUCUGAUCGACAAAAUGCCUGAGUUUGGAUGCGCGGCCAAUGUGGUGGUUUACACCGCGAUGCUCGAUGGGAUGCUCGGUUUCGGUCAUGUGGAUGCCGCAGUGGUGCUGCUGGAGGAGAUGGAGGGUGGCAGGCUUGGUGCCGGGUGUGUGCCCAACGUGGUGUCGUACACGUGUUUGGCGAAAUGCCUGUGCCGAAAAGGGAGAAUGGUGGAAGCUCUGAGUUUGCUGGAUAGGAUGAUAGCUAGAGGGGUGAUGCCGAAUCGCAUUUUUGUGCGGACGCUGAUCGAUGGGUUUUGCGCGGCCAGGGGGGCUGGCUUGCUUUCGAAGGCAUAUGAUGUGGUGGAGCGAUUGGUCGUUGACGGAACUUUGUCAAGCGGGCAGUGCUAUAAUGUUCUUCUGGUAGGCUUGUCUGUGGCUGGGAUGACAAGGGAAGCUGAAGGCCUCGCGCAGAGGAUGAUGAAGACAGGGGUGCAACUGAGCCCGCUCGCAGGAAGUGCAAUGGCGAGGGAGCUGUGUCAGAGGAAAAUGUGGUUGCAUGCUUGCUGUUGGUUGAGACUGAUGGAUGAGAAUGGGGUGCUCUGUGAUUCUGAUGUCUAUGCUGGCGUGUUGCUGGGGCUGUGUCAAGAGGGGCAUGUCCUUGAGGCCUCGGCGUUGGUGAGGAAGGUCAUGGAUAGGGGAAUACGGAUUGACGCUUCUUGCGCUGAUUGUUUGGUGCAGUUACUGAAGCAACAUGGUGAUGAGGAGCUAGCAUCACAUGUAUUACAGUAU